rnacentral:tRNA from 1 species
GCCCAUCUAGGCUAAUUGGUAACGACACAACACUUAAGAUGUUGUGUUUCUCAGUUCGAAUCUGAGGAUGGGUACCA